AUUGAACGCUGGCGGCAUGCCUUACACAUGCAAGUCGAACGGCAGCACGGGAGCAAUCCUGGUGGCGGAGUGGCGAACGGGUGAGUAAUAUAUCGGAACGUGCCCAGUCGUGGGGAUAACGUAGCGAAAGCUACGCUAAUACCGCAUACGAAUCUAUGGAUGAAAAGCGGGGGAUCGCAAGACCUCGCGCGAUUGGAGCGGCCGAUAUCAGAUUAGGUAGUUGGUGAGGUAAAGGCUCGCCAAGCCGACGAUCUGUAGCUGGUCUGAGAGGACGGACCAGCCACACUGGGACUGAGACA
rnacentral:rRNA from 1 species